GAGGCCUUUGUGGAGCCUGAUAGCCUGUCUUACGUUAAUCCAUGAAGGUGUUUGUUCUUGCCUUGAAGACAGAAAUAACCUAAUACAUUCCUGACUCAUUUCUCCCAGGGUUGACUAACUUGCCGUUGAAAAAGAAAUCUGCACGUUGUUCUUAAGUUGAAUUUCCUUUCAGGAGUAGCUGCACUGGAAGUCACUGUGCUGCUUCCCACCAACCAAAGGCUUUCCCAGUGAACCAGUCCUCCUCUUCUCACAGUUCUUAGUGUUCUUUUGCAGUUCAACACGUGGUUCAACGUCUUGUCAGCUUCAGCCUCCCAGAUAGUUUCUCAGUUCCUGAAAUCAUGGUCCUCCUUUGUUGGAUGUGGUAGAAGAAAAGGCCCUAGAGCCUGGCAACCGGAGCCUCUGUGAGUCUGUGGCCUGAAGCAGAACUUGGCGGUCAUCUGUUGGUAGCUGCUUCCAGCAAAGACAAGGCCCGGUACCAGGAGUAACUGCUGAAGUCUCCAGUGCUACAACAAAGAAAGAGCAGAGUUGGGUGCCUGGAGGAGAAGUAAUCUGUUUCAACUGAGCUUUGUCUGAAAAGCAGGUUAGCAUGGCUUAAUGAAUUAUCCUGAGUUUGGAGAACAACAUGUUCCCUUA